rnacentral:rRNA from 1 species
UGGGGAAUUUUGGACAAUGGGCGCAAGCCUGAUCCAGCCAUGCCGCGUGAGUGAAGAAGGCCUUCGGUUGUAAAGCUCUUUCGGCCGGGAAGAAAUCGUGGUCUCUAACAUAGGCCAUGGAUGACGGUACCGGACUAAGAAGCACCGGCUAACUACGUGCC